rnacentral:rRNA from 1 species
CAACCUGCCCUUCAGAGGGGGACAACAGUUGGAAACGACUGCUAAUACCGCAUACGAUCCAACCUCGGCAUCGAGGAUGGAUGAAAGGUGGCCUCUAUUUAUAAGCUAUCACUGAAGGAGGGGAUUGCGUCUGAUUAGCUAGUUGGAGGGGUAACGGCCCACCAAGGCAAUGAUCAGUAGCCGGUCUGAGAGGAUGAACGGCCACAUUGGGACUGAGACACGGCCCAGACUCCUACGGGAGGCCAGCAUG